CGGGGUGAGUAACGCGUGGAUAACCUGCCUCACACUGGGGAUAACAGUUAGAAAUGACUGCUAAUACCGCAUAAGCGCACAGUACCGCAUGGUACAGUGUGAAAAACUCCGGUGGUGUGAGAUGGAUCCGCGUCUGAUUAGCCAGUUGGCGGGGUAACGGCCCACCAAAGCGACGAUCAGUAGCCGACCUGAGAGGGUGACCGGCCACAUUGGGACUGAGACACGGCCCAA
rnacentral:rRNA from 1 species